ensembl:lncRNA
GGCUGGUCGCUAAGAAUGUUGCUAUUCUGGGUGGUUGCCAAGGGGUUAAUGUGGUUGCUAAGUGGUUGCUAGGGUGUUGUUAUGUGGUUGAUAAGGUAUUCUAUGUUCUUGUAGCACAUUGCUAUGCAGUUGCUAGGGGUGGUUUUUAGGGUGUCAUGCAGUCAAUAUGGUUUUCUGAGUGUUUUCAGCAUGUUGCUAUGCAGUAGGGUGUGCUGAGUGGUUUUAAACACAUUGCUCUGCUGUUGUUAAAGUGUUGUUGGUGGUUGCCAGAGUAUUGCUAUGUGGCUUUUUAAUACAUUCUAUGUAUUUUUUUUUCUUUAAGCAUUUUGCAGUGCUGUUGCUAAUGUGUUAUAGGUGGUUGCUAGGAUGUUGUUAUGUGGUUGCUAAGGUGUUAUAUGUGUUUGUAGUACAUUGCUAUGCAGUUACAAAGAUGUUUUGAGUGGUUCUGAACACUUUCGCUUUUUUUUUUAGGUUGGUCUGGGUGGUUGCCAGGGUGUUAUAUUGUGGCCAAGGUGUUGCAAAUAUGUUCUGUGUGGUUUUGAGCACAUUACUGUAUGGUUUCUAGGUUGUUCUGGAUGGUAGCCAGGGUGUUAUACGUUUGUUACAGUUAGCACAUAUCUGGGCUGUACAAGUAUGUCCAGAAUGGGUUUUUAUCAUGGUGAUCUGCAGUUGAUAGGUUGUUCUGGUUGGUUGUGUAUUUAUAUGCAGUUGUUAGGUUGUUCUGGCCACACAAUUUGAAGUAGCAUUUAUGGUUUUAGCCCAGAGGGUGUUGAAUAAGAUAUUCUGAAGUUAAGUAUAGCGUUAGGGGUUUGUUUAAAUCAUUAACACUAAGUAUGAAGAAAUAGUAUUAAUUAAUAUGACCUAAGGCAGUCCAGUACACUGAAAAGUUUUUUUUUUUUUUUAAUGGUUAUCAACAUAUAAACAACCCAAAGGUGUCCUGAUUUGAGUGUCCUUUGCUAUAAUUCUGAUAAAUUACUGUAAGUCACAGAAAGAAAAGGUGAAAUUAAUGAGGAGAGAACAGAUGCUUCACUUGAGGCUUUUUUAAGAAAAUAACAUCACUCACAGUACUCAGAAGAGAGAGAUAGAGAGAGAGAUCUUAGGCUUAUGCAAGUCCACAGAGAUGUGCUCUCUAUUAAAAUGAGCAGAAAUGCAUGAGUGAGUGAGUGUGUGUGUUUAUGUGGCAAGACAGACUCAGG